rnacentral:rRNA from 1 species
AGGAAUCUGCCUGGUAGUGGGGGAUAACGUUCGGAAACGGACGCUAAUACCGCAUACGUCCUACGGGAGAAAGCAGGGGACCUUCGGGCCUUGCGCUAUCAGAUGAGCCUAGGUCGGAUUAGCUAGUUGGUGGGGUAAUGGCUCACCAAGGCUACGAUCCGUAACUGGUCUGAGAGGAUGAUCAGUCACACUGGAACUGAGACACGGUCCAGACUCCUACGGGAGGCAGCAGUGGGGAAUAUUGGACAAUGGGCGAAAGCCUGAUCCAGCCAUGCCGCGUGUGUGAAGAAGGUCUUCGGAUUGUAAAGCACUUUAAGUUGGGAGGAAGGGUUGUAGAUUAAUACUCUGCAAUUUUGACGUUACCGACAGAAUAAGCACCGGCUAACUCUGUGCCAGCAGCCGCGGUAAUACAGAGGGUGCAAGCGUUAAUCGGAAUUACUGGGCGUAAAGCGCGCGUAGGUGGUUUGUUAAGUUGGAUGUGAAAUCCCCGGGCUCAACCUGGGAACUGCAUUCAAAACUGACUGACUAGAGUAUGGUAGAGGGUGGUGGAAUUUCCUGUGUAGCGGUGAAAUGCGUAGAUAUAGGAAGGAACACCAGUGGCGA